CCCGUAGGCGGUGUGGCAAGUCGGGAGUGAAAUCUCUGGGCUUAACUCAGAGGCUGCUUCCGAAACUGCCGUGCUCGAGUGUGAGAGAGGCAAGUGGAAUUGCGGGUGUAGCGGUGAAAUGCGUAGAUAUCCGCAGGAACAUCCGAGGCGAAAGCGGCUUGCUGGAUCACAACUGACGCUGAGGGACGAAAGCUAGGGGAGCAAACA
rnacentral:rRNA from 1 species